UGCGAAGGUAGCGAAAUUCCUUGCCUUUUGAUUGUGGGCCUGCAUGAAUGGUUUAACGAGGGUUUGACUGUCUCUAAGUUUUUUAUUGAAAUUGUAUUGAAGGUGAAGAUACCUUCAUUUAAAAGUUAGACAAAAAGACCCCGUGCAACUUUGAAAAUUGGCUUUAUUCAGAGGUAAAAGAUUUUUAGGUGGGGCGCCUAGAAAGUAAGUCUAACCUUUCUGAAUAAUUAGUUCUUUCCGGAUUUGACCCGAUUAUAUUCGAUCAUAGGAGAAGCUA
rnacentral:rRNA from 1 species